GUCAGGAUGGCCGAGUGGUCUAAGGCGCCAGACUCAAGUUCUGGUCUUCGUAAGAGGGCGUGGGUUCAAACCCCACUUCUGACA
rnacentral:tRNA from 4 species